rnacentral:rRNA from 1 species
UACGUAGGGUGCGAGCGUUGUCCGGAAUUACUGGGCGUAAAGAGCUCGUAGGUGGUUUGUCGCGUUGUUCGUGAAAUCUCACGGCUUAACUGUGAGCGUGCGGGCGAUACGGGCAGACUGGAGUACUGCAGGGGAGACUGGAAUUCCUGGUGUAGCGGUGGAAUGCGCAGAUAUCAGGAGGAACACCGGUGGCGAAGGCGGGUCUCUGGGCCUGUACUGACGCUGAGGAGCGAAAGCGUGGGGAGCGAACAGG